GCCACUCCCUGCCCUGAAAGGCAAGCCCUGGGAGCCCCCGGCCCCGAAAGGACGUGGAGCCUCGCGGGAGACUCCUGGAAGUGCGUGAAUAGCAAGCACAGCGUGGUGCGCCCGCUUUACAAAGUUAGCAUAUUCACAAGAACCCGCUCGGAAGGCCAAGUCCUUGAUGUCGGCCAAUUGGUUAAGUGGCUGUGUGCUUUCUUUCCACUGCACUUAUUCGGUGAUCCCGAUUGGCGUCCGCACAGCCGCCACCCUCACUCUCGCUUGAGGAUAAAAAGCAAGCCGAUUUGGCAUGUAGGCACUGUUUGAAAAACAACUUUGCACUCUAGUUAUUCGGCAAAAAGCUCCACCUUCCCACGCUGCUGAUAAUAUUUCUCGCGGCUGCGUGGGACACUCCUCGUCUCACCCAUGAGAGCGAGCUGCCUUCUGUCUGGUUGGGCGAUUCCUGCAGGGCCUGAGCCUCCGCAGAGCCCGGCGUUCAAGGAGAAAAAAGGAGCCGCGGAUGUGAGUUUGCUUCGUCACUGCCUUGUGAGCGACUUUGGGCAAGUUACUUAGCUCUCCUGACCUCAGAUUUCUUGUCUAAUGUGGGAGGGAACCGAACGUGGAUGACGCUCCGGGCAGCGGCGGAGAGCCGAGAUCACCGCGCGCGCCUGAGAACUUUGUCCGAAGCGCGGCCCGGGGACUGGGAGCGCAGGGCAGGGAGCUCCCUCUGCGGGAGCGCGGAGGCGCUCCUACUUUCUCCGCACGUCACGGGGGCCGCUCAGCGCUCUCCCACCCCGGGCCGGGCGAGAGCGGCUCCCCAGCAGGGCGACGGAGGAGCGCGGCGAGAGCGAGCCGCCGCGGAGAGCCUGGGAACCCAGAGCGCAACCCUCGGCCCCCGCCGGGGCGGCCUCCGCAGCCGCACGGACCCCGCGUUCGGGGCUGGCCCGCUCCCUCUCAGCGGGCCGGGAUCGUCUGCCUGCGAGGUGGCGGUGCCUACCACAGCGGGUCGGGAGCUUCUGGGAUCCGAGCCGAGAAACGGGACGCUCGAGUCCAUUUGCAGUCUUCACGUAGGAAACGGUGCUAGAACAACAAACCAGAAGAUUAACAGAGUUGGGGCUAAUAUAAUGCGUUUAAUUGUCUCAUGGCCCAUGUUCUAGAACUACAUCCUCGGUCACUGUCCCAGUACAGCCAUCUGUAGCACCUCCUCAGUAACUGACGGUGAUGUUCCUUUCCCUACGCUGUUUAUACCAUCAGCCUGGGGUUUUCUUUGGAGGUGACACAAAGAAUGAAGAUAUUCAAAUGUUAUUUUAAACAUACCCUACAGCAGAAAGUUUUCAUCCUGUUUUUAACCCUAUGGCUGCUCUCUUUGUUAAAGCUUCUAAAUGUGAGACGACUCUUUCCGCAAAAAGACAUUUACUUGGUUGAGUACUCCCUAAGUACCUCGCCUUUUGUAAGAAACAGAUACACUCAUGUUAAGGAUGAAGUCAGGUAUGAAGUUAACUGUUCGGGUAUCUAUGAACAGGAGCCUUUGGAAAUUGGAAAGAGUCUGGAAAUAAGAAGAAGGGACAUCAUUGACUUGGAGGAUGAUGAUGUUGUGGCAAUGACCAGUGAUUGUGACAUUUAUCAGACUCUAAGAGGUUAUGCUCAAAAGCUUGUCUCAAAGGAGGAGAAAAGCUUCCCAAUAGCCUAUUCUUUGGUUGUCCACAAAGAUGCAAUUAUGGUUGAAAGGCUUAUCCAUGCUAUAUACAACCAGCACAAUAUUUACUGCAUCCAUUAUGAUCGUAAGGCACCUGAUACCUUCAAAGUUGCCAUGAACAAUUUAGCUAAGUGCUUCUCCAAUAUUUUCAUUGCUUCCAAAUUAGAGGCUGUGGAAUAUGCCCACAUUUCCAGACUCCAGGCUGAUUUAAAUUGCUUGUCGGACCUUCUGAAGUCUUCAAUCCAGUGGAAAUAUGUUAUCAACUUGUGUGGGCAAGAUUUUCCCCUGAAGUCAAAUUUUGAAUUGGUGUCAGAGUUGAAAAAACUCAAUGGAGCAAAUAUGUUGGAGACGGUGAAACCCCCAAACAGUAAAUUGGAAAGAUUCACUUACCAUCAUGAACUUAGACGGGUGCCUUAUGAAUAUGUGAAGCUACCAAUAAGGACAAACAUCUCCAAGGAAGCACCCCCCCAUAACAUUCAGAUAUUUGUUGGCAGUGCUUAUUUUGUUUUAAGUCAAGCAUUUGUUAAAUAUAUUUUCAACAACUCCAUCGUUCAAGACUUUUUUGCCUGGUCUAAAGACACAUACUCUCCUGAUGAGCACUUUUGGGCUACCUUGAUUCGGGUUCCAGGAAUACCUGGGGAGAUUUCCAGAUCAGCCCAGGAUGUGUCUGAUCUGCAGAGUAAGACUCGCCUUGUCAAGUGGAAUUACUAUGAAGGCUUUUUCUAUCCCAGUUGUACUGGAUCUCACCUUCGAAGCGUGUGUAUUUAUGGAGCUGCAGAAUUAAGGUGGCUUAUCAAAGAUGGACAUUGGUUUGCUAAUAAAUUUGAUUCUAAGGUGGACCCUAUCUUGAUUAAAUGCUUGGCAGAAAAGCUUGAAGAACAGCAGAGAGACUGGAUCACUUUGCCCUCAGAAAAGUUAUUUAUGGAUAGAAAUCUCACUACCACAUCAUGAUAGUAAAAUCAGGAUGGAAAUAAGAGGGUGCCUGAUAAAUGGAGUCAGUGUGGAAUUGAAUACCAUACUAUGCCCAAUACUGUUUAAACUCAGUCCUCCCAUAUUUUAAAAGGUGUCCAAAAUUCCAUACACAAGGGAAAGUGAUCUAGCCUUUGAUGUUAUUAGCCUGCAGUUGGCUAGGUUUUUUUAAUAUUUGUUUUUGCUUGUAAUCUCACUGAGCCAAAUCAGAGAUCUUAAACAUUCAGUCAGUCAUCAAACAUUAUUGAGCACCUAACUAUAUGACAGGCACUUUUUUAGAGACUGCGGCUUAUCCUCAUCAUAGCAACCUCGGUAUCUUUAAGUUCUCCACAUAACAGUCAGGAUUCUACUGAAGAAGCUUUUGAAGUUUGUGGUAAUCGUCUGAUCAUAUAAACCACCCAUUUCAGAGUAGUGUUUAAGUACUGUGACCAACACUCCACUUGUCUCUUAACUCAGCUUUCAAGACAUUUCUUAACCAUCAGAGCAGAGGAGGAAAGACUCACUACCUCAGAAAAAUCUCAAAGAAUAGUCCAAUUUCCUGCUUGCCAAAGCAUAAUCUGCCUUUUGGUGCAUUACUUGGUCAAUUCAGGGUUGAGGAGACUGUUGGGGGGCAUUUAUAAUGUAUGAAAGUUAAGGAAGGGGGUGAGGAUGUGGGUUGGGACAGGUAGUACCUAAAGAGGAGCGAAGGGAUUUAUACAACAUUUUUAUCAUGUUACAAAACAGUAUCAUGAAUGGCCUCCUUUUUAGUUCAACUGUUUCUUUAAAAUGCAUUUACUGAUUAAAAAUAAGAACUGACCAAUAGCUCCAAGUGUCACACACCAGAACAUUAAGCCUAAGUCCUCAAUUCAUAAGUUAUCAUUCUAGAUAAGUUUCUUUACAAUGGAAUACUUUCUGUGGAAUCAUUAUAAUUCUGUUGUAUGGAACUAUCAAGCUAAGAGUCACUAAACUUUCUUCAAAAGGUUGUGUGAAAUAUGACAGCUUUCUAAAUUAAUUUGUAUAGUCAUUUAAAAUUUUUUCUUCUCUGGCAACUGUCCAACUGGAAUCCAGAUUUAAAGUGAUAAAAGCUCUAAGUUUCUUGCAGUCUUUUUCUCAGCUUAGUUCCAGAGAGAAAAAAGCUAAUUUUCCUAAGGACACAGCAAGAAUAUUCAUUAAGGAUAUUUUCUAAAACCCACACUUGAGAAAACCACCCAAUGAGUCAAAAAUAUAUAUAUAUAAUAUAUAUUUUAUAUAUAUGUAAUAUAUAUUUAUGUUAUAUAUUAUAUAUAGAACAAUUCCAUUACAUAUAUAAUAUAUAAAUAUAUAUAUUAUAUAUACAUAUAUUGUAUAUGAAUAUAUAUUAUAUAUACAUAUAAUUAUAUAUAUAUAAAUAUAUAUUAUAUAACAUAUAAUGAAUAUAUAUUAUAUAUAUAAUGGAAUUGUUCUGGAAGUAAAAUGGGGUAGGAAUGGGGUUCUGAGAAUAGGCAAUAACAUUUUCACCAGUCUCUUGGGAAAUUGUAGAACUCAUGUAAAAAUUUCUUGGUCAUGAUAUGUCUCAAUGGCAGCCUCAGUAAAUAAAAAUGUAGCCUCAGAUAUUAUAUUUAAAGAUGUAGUAAAUCUAGCCCAAAAUAGGACAAUUUGGAAGAUUUAAGUAUUACAUAUUUUUUAAAUGUCUGUGUUCUAAAUGUGAAAUGCACUUUGCUCAUUUUAAAGUUCAUAAUACUAACUGCCAACUGACACCACUUCUCGCUCCCUUUCUUCUCUUGAACUCAUUUUUCUCCCUUUUUAUUUACCCCCUUCAAAUUACUUCAUUCUUUGGAAAUAACUAUUACCAAGCCCCAUUCUUCAAAAUAAGUAAACAUUGUAUAGAGCCAAGUUCUGCAAAAGAUCCAUACCAGUUCACUCGUGUGCGACUGUGGACAGGUAAGUCACUUUGGUCUCUAUGAACCUCAGUUUUCCAGAUCUUUGAAAUGAGCACUUGGAUGCCUAUCCUUGCUUCCACACAAGUGUUUUUUUUUUUUUUUUUUUUUUUUUGUGAGAAUCGAUUGAAAUAGUAUAUGAAGUGGUUUGAAAAUAGGUACAAACUAUUGACAUUUCAAUGUCAGAGAGUGAUACCUGUAGUAGUAUAGGCAAAGGUCCAACCCCAUCGAAAGGCUUAAACAUUUACCUUUUCUGAAAAACUAUUGAAAUAUAAAGAGAGUCCCCAGUCACAGGGGCAACUUCUGUAACCAAAUCCAGAUCUGAGGAAACUCCUGUAACCCCAUUUGGGGUUUCUUUCUAAGCCAAUAGGGUUACAGGUUGGUACAGUGACACAUUGAGAAUGGGGCUACAAAUACUUUUCCCACCAUCUAGGAUGAAAUACACGAAAUCCUGUUGAAAUCUUGGUUUUUAUGCCUUUGCUCAUCAGAAUAAACGUAAAUGCUGAAAAACAAAUAACCUCCUGAUCCACUGUCUUGCCUCCUGGUGAGAAAUGAUUCUAUCCCCUGUUUAUUGGGAAAUUUCCAAAGUUGUUCAUCACUUAAAUGCCGUAUUCAAAGGGAACAUGGAAGGAUGAAGCGGAGAAAGUGCCUUCGAGACAUUCACACAUUUCUCUGGACUCAGUCUGUUAACAUAUCAGGGAGCUUGUCAGAUCACACCUUUUUGCCUUGGAAAUCCUACAGAUUUCCUGUACGCCUUCAUAUCUGAUUCUUCCCUAAAACCUUUGGGUAUGAUUUCCUCCCUGGUCUUGAUAAUGUCCUGCAGUCUGUGUUUUAUAAUUAUUCUUUGUAUUUAUUGAAUCUAGACUUUAAGUUAUUCAGAGAUCAGACCAGAACCUUAGAGUUUCUAAACUGUAUGUGGAUAUUAAAUAAUAUUAAUAAUGAAAGAGCUACCAAAAUAGUCUAUAUUGUGUGAACAAUCUCUUGGGAUAUUAGACGUGUUUAAAGACCAGUGUUGCUGCUAUUUUUAAUAUUUUGGUUAAUUUAAGUGAAAUGUACAUAUUUUAAUUUGAAGAUUUAUCUUGCCCAUCAGAAUGUGAAGAUAUACUUGCAUAUAUUUUGACAUAUUUCAUGGAAAAUAAAAAUGAUAAUCCACUUUGUGAGUGUAAGUGAAUGUAUUCAUAUGUAUGUUAUUAUAAAUGAUUUUUGUUUGCACUGAUGAUGAAAUGAGAGUUUUGGGGGCUUUUUAUACAUUUAUAUCGACUGGUCUCUAAAUCUCCUAUUUUGUUUUCUUAUCAUUUUUGAAAUACAGUUCCCAUUACAUGAGUUUUAAAUAGAUUGGUGUUUCAUUUUGUAUUAUGCUACUACUAGAUGUUGAUUCUCUGGUAUUGUAAAAUAAAAUGUGCUCCAAAAACCCAAACCCUUGGACUUUAUGAGCUUUCCUUUCUCUGGUUUUGCUGAUUCCCCACAAAGAUUCUUUCAGUUUAUGGCACUUGCCCCUUAUUUAAAGAGCAGAGUUUAUUUCACUUCAGUGUAAAAGAAAUUCAGCAUGUGUAUUAUACACAAUAUAGGCACAUGAACUUAAGCCAUUUAAUUUGGUAAAGUCUCAAAGAGUCUUCCAGGAUUUACCUGUCUUCCUCCUACUUCAGGUUGGUUUCUCCUGUAAGAUUAAUAAGAUAAAUACUCUUGUUUGCUUGAUUACUUUAUGGAAGUAGUUUUCAAUAGGGUAGGUUGAACUUUUUAUCUCAGGUCCCUCACUUCCUGGAAAAUCAAUAUUCUUCCCUUUCUACCUUUUUUUUUUUUUUUUUUUUUUUUGAGAUGGAGUCUCGCACUGUCACCCAGACUAGAGUGCAGUGGUGCGAUCUCGGCUCACUGCAACCUCCGCCUCCCGGGAUCAAGCAAUUCUCCUGCCUCAGCCUCCCAAGUAACUGGGAUUACAGGUGCCCGCCACCAUGCCCAACUAAUUUUUUGUAUUUUUAGUAGAGACAGGGUUUCACUAUGUUGGCCAGGCUGGUCUCAAACUCCUGACCUCGUGAUCCUCCCAAAGUGCUGGGAUUACAGGCAUAAGCCAAGGCACCCAGCCAAGAUUCUUCCCUUUCUUUGAAGGACUCCUGCCUUGGUUGUGAGCACGCAGACACCCCCAGUGUCCCCAGGCCUUGCUGGUGGAGGAUUCCUGAUGAGCUUCUGCUCUGUUCUCCCAGCUCUACUGAGCUGAGUAUUUGUUAUCAUCAACCCCCACCCGCUGAGAAGCUCCCUGGCCAUUUUUCUUUCACCAUUUCUAAACCCAUAACAGUCACCAGCCUACCCAGUAUGUAGAUAUGCCAGGGGUUUGCAUAUUUCACUCACAAAUCUCAAUCCAUCUCAAGGAAUUUGGGGCAUUUGGGGAAUCUUCAACCUAAAAAAAUAAACACUAUACUCAACCUAAGGUUAAUUCUAGCUCUUACCAAGCUGGACAACUGUGCAAAUUCACAGUAAUUUCAGGAACAGGGGACUAUUUUUUGGUGCCAGUGGUGGUGAGGCAGGUCUAUACACAGCAUCAUAUUAAAGACUGAUUUGAUUCCUACAUAAGUUUCAUAUUUUUUUGUUCCCAUUGGCACCUACAAAUCUACACCUAAAUUGGGACAAUUGGCUUCUAGUUACAUGAAACUGAUUAUGAGGAAACUGUGGCAAGAGAGAAUGAAUAGAUGAUUGUAAAUUUGUUCUCAGUACUGGAAAAAAAAUCUGGUGAUGCAAAACAAACGGCUUCAGAGACAGAUGAUCAGGGUGUUAACCCACGUGGACACACCAAAGCCACAGGAAGACUCUUCAUCGGGCCUUACAUACAACCUUCCCACAGAGCAGCAAAGCACGCCCUCCUGGAGCACCCUCGGUUGAAUCAUGCAUAAGACAAACAGCCAGAAAAGAAUCUCAGGGAAAAUCAUGGCCAGGAACCUGGAUCCAUCAGAAAAUUGAAGUCACAGGACAAACCUCACUCUGAAAAUUGGAGACACAGGCAAAUAAAGAGGAUCCCAACUUACCAAGAGUAGAAGCCCACAUCUGGAGCACACAGGUGGCUGCUGCGUCUCCAGGCUUCCUGUCCCUGUGCCAUCAGAAAAGAAGGUGUGAGGGAGGAGUGCAGGAGGGCAAGAGAAAAAUGUCUUCCCAGAAACUCAGCGUAUGUCUCAGUGGUCAGGUUGGAAGAGGUCCCAUCUGCUCUUCCACUGUUGAGAACUAACUGAUAUCGAAUCAUAUUGGUGGAGCUCAAAAUGUCACUGGCAAUGCCGACGGGAGGUCGUGACUUUAGAUCUACAGCCACACGGGCUUACCUUCAACCCAGCCCACUCAGUUCCUGGCAUAGAUGGACAAGUCAAAGACUCCCCUAAAGAGUGGGCCCUUUCGUCUGGCAAAAAAAAAUAGAUGAGAGUAGAAUGUCUGCCUCUUGAGGAUUAACCUGCUCCAAAAUAAGCCCAAGGAAGCUAACUGACCACACUUAAUUCCUUCCACUAAAUUUACCAACCGGAAACUCCCCUUCCUCCCAAGGGCAAGAAUGUGUGGAGGUGAUGGGAUAGGCUAGGAAAGUUAUGGUAGCAGGAAUUCCUUUCUCUCUAUCAAAACCUGAGUCCAGGAUCACUCACAGUGGGGGGAAGCCAGCUGCCAUGUCAUGAUACUCUCAAGAAACCCUACGGAAAUGUCCUUGUAGUAAGGAAUUGCAGCCUCCUGCUAACAACCAGCACUAGCUUGCCAGUCAUAUGUGUGAGCCACUUUGGAAACAGAUCCUAGUCCCAGCCAAGCCUUCAAAUGCCAGAGCCUAUUGUGAGGGAUGGGGUUUGUCAGGCAGAUCAGAUCUGCAUUUGACAAGCAGCAAAUCAAUGAAGUAGAUACCUGCACAGCUGAAAGUGGAGGGAGAAGAUACAAUUGAUGUGUUGGGCAGCAAAAAAGGAGGCAUCUAUUUAAAAAAGAGUACUUGCUAGCCAGGCAUGGUGGCGCAUGCCUGUAAUCCCACCUGCUUGGGAGGCUGAGGCAGGAGAAUCACUUGAACCCAGGAGGUAGAGAUUGCGGUGAGCUGAGAUCGUGCCAUUGCACUCCAGCCUGGGCAACAAGAACGA
rnacentral:lncRNA from 1 species